GACUGGAACAGGGAACUUCCCUCACCAACCAAACCGUUAUGGCUUCCCUCUCCAAAGGCGAUCAGAAUCAGGUUCUGGUGGAGCGUAAAUCGUGUGCGAGAGUUUUGACAUUAAACAGGCCUAAGCAAUUGAAUGCGCUCUCUUUUUAUAUGGUGUCUCGGUUGCUGGAAAUUUUUCAUGAGGAUGAGGGAAACUCUGAUGUUAACUUGAUUGUCGUGAAG